rnacentral:rRNA from 25 species
CUUGACCUCAAAUCGGGUGAGACUACCCGCUGAACUUAAGCAUAUCA